ACACCAGCCCAUCAUCAAUUGGAGCUGACCCGGCCUAUCUUCCAAUUUCCCCUUUAAUCAACCACAACAGAGCAGCCUACGACAUCGAUCGGAAAAGAUAAGAGAAACACGCUUCUGGUUUCUAAAUCGUGAAAGUCAAACCCAGCUUCCCCCUAAAAUCGACCCAGUACUCAAUCGAUAUCAGCAAAGAUGUAACCCGAAAUCACCAUCUCCGACCCAACCUCAACCCGAUGCUCGCGUGAAUCACGUGCAUCCCACGUGAACAUGUUUGAGAAAAGCUUAGGAAGCUUCUAGAUAUGGGUGAGUUGAUGCGCUGUCCCUCUCCAACGUUUGAAUCCCAAUUUUCUCGGGUUGAUGUGUACGAUUUCGUACAAUUCUCAUUGGUUUAAAGGGUGUAUUUCGUUUGGUUCUUUUUUUUAUUGGUCCACCUGUUUGUCUCUUCUGGGAGAGAAAUCAAAAAGGGAUGCAUUCGUUUAGCUAAGGGGGAGCCCCGUUUUGAAUUUUGAAUUCCCACAGAAAAUCCCUAAGUUACCCUCAUUGGUUUCGAUAUAAAGAGCUCACUGUUGAGCUGAACAGGGAGGAAUUUUCUCUGGGGGGGCGAUUUUUGGUUCAAAAAAAAAAAAUCAAGGGAAAAUUUGGGUUCGGAAAAAUUGAGGAAGAGAAAAUCCUGAGAGAGAAAGAGAGGGCUCUCAAGAAAAAUAUUUUUUGGAUACCAAAAAAUAUACGCGUUCUUGAAAAAUAUUUGCGCCUGAAUCGUUGAAGAUCUUUGGGUGGCGAUCGAAAUCCUGACGAUAGCUGGUAGUCCCGUUUGCUGCCCUUAAGGAGAGUCCAUACGGGCUCUUUCACUUUGCAUUACAUAAUGGGCCAAUAUGGCCCAUCUUUCGUGUCAAGCCCCGAAAGGAGGUCCAAACUAAUUACAUAGCAUACGGAUGCAAGAAGUCGAAAUAGGAAUAAUGGGUUAAAAUCCCAUUCUUGAAGCGACGACGAAACCCAAGCCUCAUUUCUGUGUAUUUAUUUAUUGUCGUUAUCUAUUUAUUGUUGUCAUUUUUAUUAUUGUUUAUUUCCUUUUUUCUUUCAUUAUUCAUUCAUUUGAGCCUCGAAGCCAACGUUGUAAAUUUAAUACAGGUGGAGCGGAUUUUGGGUUGAAAACCCAACUAGAGUAGGACAGGGUCGACGGUUAAAAGCCUAAAUCACUACUUCUCCCUUUCCCUUUUUCCUUUUUACUUGCUUUAUGUAUUUCUUGCGAACCUAGUUAAAUCCUUAGUCAAGUCGCUAAAAAGUGGUUUUGCAUAAACACCAAAAUAUUCGUAAAAUUGCUUUCUUUUCAAAAAUCAAUUUUUUCAAGGUUAAUCAAAGACGAUUUUCAAACAGUCCGAAUAAUCGCAAGUUAGCGGACGUUUGAGGUGCCUAACACCUUCCUAAAAUGAUAAUAGGAACGGCUUACUUAUAAUUUCAACUAUUUUCCUAUUUUGGAUCGUUUAAAGUAACUCUCUAAAGGUUUCUUAAUUCCUUUUCAAAAUUAAGUGGCAACUCUUCAAAAAGUCAAAAUUUCCGCAAAACAACUUCAACUAGUUUCAAAUUGUAAUUAAAUCGACUUAUUUUCUCUUUAUCAUGCUAAUGUAAUUAUUUUUAUGAUUCAAUUCAGCUGGAGUGCCAACUGACGAUAGGAAUUGCCCUCCCUUUUUUUAUGAUUAUUCAUCCUGAUAUAGCACAUUUACACCAGCUCAUUCUCAGCGGUUGUAGUCUUUGGCUUUUGCAAGCUUGUUAGGCAGCAUUUUCACUUGUUUUUUAUAUUUUCUAAAUGAAUAAUGUUUCUUUGAAUAUCAAAGAAAUUUGUUUCAA